CGGAGUGUCUGACCUUUCCCGAUAAGCUCGGUGAUUGCUCGAAUGGGAGCGCCUAGGGCAUCGAAGCACGAGCUCGUCCUCCGCUCUCCCUCCCCUCGGAUAUAUUAAUCUACUCCUCAAAAUCCCUCCUCUCCGAUUCCCCCUCCUCUCCUCCUCUUCUCGCGCAAAACUCCAAGCCCUCGGCGUUUUGGCGGGCUCGUCUCUCCUGUUUCUUAGGUUUUUCUCGAGGGGAUCACGGAGUGGCGGGGAGGAAGGGAUCGAGGUCCGAUAAUGGCGGUGGCGUGUCCGAAGCGGGCGUAGCGAGGGGGGCGGAAGGCCGGCGUGGGGGGAUCUUGGGUGGUGGCUUCAUCUGGAGGGGACCGCUCUGGGAGGCGGAGCCGAGGGAGGCACGAGGCCGGCAUUCGUGAGCGGAAUCUCGGGCACACGAGCGCGGUGCUGGGCGGCGGAGCGAUCGAGGUCCGUUGCCGAGGAAUGCAGCUGGAUCGGAGCUCGUCUGCCUCCAAUCGGUAGAGAAACAGCCGUCGUAGUGUCUCAAGAACCUCGAAUUCUUGGUUUCUAGAGUGGAGCCGCAGAUCCGGAGAGGACAAGGAGAGCAGAUUAUAGAUCUGAAAGCUGAAGACUUAGAUCGAAGCGGAAAGGAAAGAUUAGAACUUUUAUGCUCUCAAGAAAGAAAAACGUCCGAAUUCGAGACCUGUUGCUGCUGCUGCGGUGCGUACAGGCGGCAGUGCUGAUCUCUGUCCGCCUGGCGAGCGAGUAGCGAAAGGGAUAGAAAGAGGGAGCGACCGGAGACCAGCGCGUCUCUCUAGAUGUUGCUAUGACAUCGCUGUGGAAAAGCUGAGGCUAAGAGCUGACAUCUCCGGCCACCAACGCCAUUUCCAGCGUCCAAAGGACAGCGCCACCGACUCCUAGAAACGCUAGCCCGAGCCCAGCUCAGCUUCCUGCGACAGUCUCUCCCUCUUCCCCAAACCGAGAACUUGGGAUAAGGACGGAGCGGGCGCGGAGGUGAUAAGGACGAGCCCAACCCAUCCACCCCGUCUCGGCCCGGCGAGGCAUGAAAGCGGGAUGGAGAUGGAGGAGAACCACGCCUGCAAGCGAUCCCGGGUUGGAAACGGCACCGCCACCAGCAGCAGUCAGGCGGCCAAGAUAGGCCGCAAGACCCAGCACCAGGACGACGACGACGAGGAUGGAGAAGGGAGGGGCGGUGGCGGCGGCGGCGCCGAGAGCCGCGUCAUGUCUUGGCACCACCCUUCCUCUAGGAUCUUCAGAGUCUCUCGGGCCUCCGGCGGCAAGGACCGCCACAGCAAGGUGUACACCGCCAAGGGCCUCCGGGACCGGAGGGUCCGCCUCUCGGUCUCCACCGCUAUCCAGUUCUAUGACCUCCAGGACCGCCUCGGCUACGACCAGCCCAGCAAGGCCAUCGAGUGGCUGAUCAAAGCCGCCGCUGCCGCAAUCAACGAGCUCCCCGCUCUCGACGGCACCUUUCCGGAGGCUCCAAAACCUCAUCACCCUGAAGAAAAGCCGCCGCCGGAGGAGCCUGAUGCCGAGGCCGAGCCCAGCUACAACCAGCAGCAGCAUCUUUCGCUCUCGAAGUCCGGCUGCAGCAGCACCUCCGAAACGAGCAAGGGCUCGGUCCUCUCCCUCUCCCGCUCCGAGAUCCGCGUCAAGGCGCGUGAACGCGCCCGGGUAAGGGUGAAGGACAAGGAGAAAGACCGAGACGAUGGCCAUGUCGCCGUCUCUCAUCACCAGAAUGCGAACCCUUGUCUCAACUCUCAGACCUCCUUCACUGAGCUUCUCACCGGCGGCGGCAGCAGCAAUGGCGCUGACGUUGCCACAGCACAGGCGAACAGCGUUAAUUGUCUCCAGAAGCAAAUGCGGCACCUGCCGACUGUCACGACCACCGCCGAUUACUUUGGCCAAGCAGGUCUCUUUCCCCAGGCACAGAAGUCCCACCAGCUGCCAUCAGGGUUCUCAUCCCAACCCAACUUUGGGAACAGCUCUCCCAUGGGAAUGGCACCGCUCAACAUUGCCGCCACAGCAGCGGGAGCAGGAGACCAUCCGGAGAUGCAGCAGUUUUAUUUCCUGCAGGACCAUCUCAUGUCCGCCUCAGCCAUGGGAGCGGGGCCGGGAGACUAUAACCUCAACUUCCCCAUCUCUUCAGGUCUUGCAGGUUUCAACAGGGGGACCCUUCAGUCCAAUUCACCAUCUCAGUUGCCUCACCACCACCUCCAUAGGCUCUCCUCUCCGGUAGACGGAUCGAACCUGCCCUUCUUCUUUGGCUCCGCUGCGCCAGCUGCGGCCGCCACCUCCGCGGAGAACCAGUUCUCUGCUGGAUUUGAUGGCCGCCUGCAACUCUGCUAUGGGGAUGGCUACCGGCAUUCAGACCUGAAGGGGAAGGGGAAGAGCUGAGGCCUCCUGUGCACCUUCUCCUCGCUGAUGCAUUGCCUCAGCUUGCUAAUUUUAUAUGUCAUGAUUCAAAUAAUAUUGUAAUAAGAAUGGAGCACCAUACUGGAGGUUAAAAGUGUAUUGUUCUUGAUCACAUCCCCCACGGUUGCUACCAUUUCCUCAUAAAAGAAGGCGUUGCAACAGGUUCUGGAAGAACAGAUACCUUAGUUCAGAUCUUAUGAUUGUCCGAUGCCUCAUUUUUAUAUUGCUCCACCUACUAUUGAAAAGAUUCCUUGGUUCAUCUUUUUUGUGUGGAUGAUUCUGUGGAUAGGGUUGUAAUAAACGAGCGGAACUGAAGACAGCAGCCAUGAUGAACUCAAGUCCUUCGCAAACAAGGCAUCUGAAAUGUGAUAUUAUUCAUAUUAUUGGUGUUAUUGUAACUAACAUUGCUGUUUUAUUUAUGUUCCUUGCUGUUCUCAGGAAUGCCAUUUUGUAAUUUAUGAGUCGGAUGAUUUUUAUCUGUGUGGUUCUAGGUUUAGACCUCAUUAUCAGAACCAUAAACAUUUUCUUAAAUUUUUAUUGCUGUCUUGAGUUCAACAAGCUGUAGAUCUGAGAUCUUUGAAGCAAACAGAGUUGGCCGAGGGUUUGUUCGUUCA